AGCUCCAAUAGCGUAUGUUAAAGUUGUUGCAGUUAAAAAGCUCGUAGUUGAACCUUGGGUCUGGCUGGCCGGUCCGCCUCACCGCGAGUACUGGUCCGGCUGGACCUUUCCUUCUGGGGAAUCUCAUGGCCUUCACUGGCUGUGGGGGGAACCAGGACUUUUACUGUGAAAAAAUUAGAGUGUUUAAAGCAGGCCUUUGCUCGAAU
rnacentral:rRNA from 1 species